GAGUUGGGCAUAUAUUAUUUAAGACUCCUCCUGUUUAGUACUUAUAAGGAGCCUUAAAUUCUUUUAAAUAAUUUUAUAUAAUUUCAUUAAAUAUUCGCACAAUUAGCCCGACAUAAUUUGGAGGCACUGCUGAGAUCGAGAUUAUUUUCUCAUAUUGGUACAAACAGUGAAAAACCAUUCCAAUACUUCUGUCAAGCUAGUUAUUUUUUUUUAUUAAUUGAUUGAGACCAUGAGUGUUGCAAGCAGUGAGAGUGGAAACACCCCAGAGCAAAUGAUCCACAAUGUUGUUCAAUUCAUAUAUAAACGGUUAAAAUUUGAUCAAGGGAUGAUUAGUUGGAUUAAUGAUUUGAAGAGAAAUUUUAGGGCAGACCUUAAUGAUAUCUGGGCAACAGACGGCAUGGUUGAACGAUAUUUAACAUGUAUGAACUUAGCCUCUAGCAGUUCAGACAAAGAGAAAAAAUUAAUGUGUGCCCUACCGCCCGUUUUAUAUGCAUUAAUGGAAGUAGAUACUCUAUCAAAAGCUAGAAAAGAAGAUAUAGAAAAAUUGAGGUCUCAAUUACAUGAGAUAGAAUCAAAUAUCCAACAUAUGGAAUCUGACAGAAACCAAUUAGAGAUAGAUAUCUCUAACAAGGAAGCCUUUAUUAGGGACUUAGAAACUGAUGCUGAACAUAGUCGCAUAGCAUACCGUAAGCUCAGAGAGGAUUUUGAAGAAUUACGGCAACAGUUGUUUAAAAAUCAACAGUCAGGUGUACCCUGUAUAUGGUGUGGAGAGAUUUCCUGAUCCUCCAGUAAUCACUCCCCAAUAUAAAAAUUGGGCACCAUAUGUUCCUAGAGCCAAACCAAUUGAUAAUUUUGAUUCAGAGGCACAAGGUGUUUUGGGCCGGUUGGCUGAAGCUUGCCAAGCUGUGACCACCUUAUUGGGCAAUCACAGAACCAGGACCCCUAUAGACUCCUGUCAAGACUCAUCCCCAGAGAGGAAUGAGCGCUGUAAGUCCCUUGUGUCCAAUGUAUUCUAUAAAAAUUAUGCUUCCAAUCUUAAUACAAGUGGGUCUGAGAGUGAUGAGAGGAAGCGGGAUUCCAGUCCUGUCCCAAGAAGGGGGAAAAACACCCAUAAAAGGGGUUCAAAAGGUAAAUAUCCCCAAUAUCCAGGUGAAAAACAAAAUUCUGCCAGCAUAAUUAAAUUCCUGAAUACUGCUGUGCCAAAAUUUUCUAAGAAAGGUUCUGCCCAAAUAGCGACCCAUUUAGAAAUGUAUGAGUCUACUAUGGACUCUUUGGAUUUGUCUGAAGCAGACAGAAUAAGGUUUCUUCCAUGGGCCUUUGAUGACAGAUACCGUCAUUACUUUUCCUCCUUUAGAGAGAGAGGAAUCACUAAAUGGCAGUCAGUCUUACAUGAAGUUAAAUUAGAAUUUGGGCCAUACCGAAAUACCACUGCCGCAAAGAGAGAAAUUUAUAGAAUUACAUGUCGGCCUAACCAAAGCCCCGAGACUUUCUCUCUGUGCUCAAAAAUGCCUAUGGUCUGGCCUACAGAGACCCUGAUUGGGAAUCUAUAGAUUUUAAACAGUUGUUUUAUGACGCUUUACCAGCCCAGAUCAAAUUAAGUCUUGCCCAUGAUCUGGAUAUUGAAAGUCCCCUAGAAAAGCUGGUAACAUCAGCAACCUUACUGUUUAACAUCAGUGAGGGCCCAAAUGUAAAUGAAAGGAAAACUAAAAGAUUCCCAGAACACGAUGUCAAUGAAUCUAAAGUAAAACCUGAUUUUGAGUCACAGCCAAAGAAAGUACCUUCAGCCAAUGGGUCUAAUCAGCAGAACCGAAGACAGCCAAAUCCCAUACAAAACAAACCUCAAAAUCCUAAGGGAUCAGACGGGAACAGCUCAGGUUCUGGAAGCCAGGACUAUCGUCCUCGUUUCAACCGGGAUUACCGAGGGUACCAGGGUAGACAGAAUUAUAGGGGUUACCAAGAGUAUAGGCGUCCCCAGGGGUAUAGACGUUGGGACAAUAGGCCCAGGCAAUAAUGGGUAAAAGGGCAGGAAUCACCAAAUUCACCCAGGGGUAAAUCACCCACAGGGAACCAAAAUGGUCCCCAGAAUCAAAACCCACGUAAACCUAGCAGAUUUGAUCAACUUGCAGACCAGGUUUCCAAGUUAACUGACAUUGUAAGUAAAUUGUCUCAAGUUUCUGCACCAAAACAGUCUGAGGAUUUUUUAGAUGUGAAGGCGGGACCCAGUUCCGCCAAUUAAAAGAAACAGGGUCAGGUCCCUGUACAGAAAUGAAUACGGCAAUACCAAAUAUGGACAACAAUCAUAUUUUGCAUUACACCGACCCAAUCGGGGUCAAAGGGAAGUCUAAUGUUUCAUUUAUCUUGCAGCCAAAUAAGGUCAAUUCUCGUGAUCCAAUAUCACUACAGCCCGUGUGUGAAAUACCCUCUGUUCAGUUCGUCCCAGUGGUGGAAUCCAUGGGAACCCAGAUGACCUGCAGGCGGAACCAGGAGGAGAUAAAUCCAAAUAUCCUGACGCUGCAGAAGGAUCAUUCUUUAAAACAACAGAUGGCAAAUCACUCCAAUUUUCUCUGUAAUCUCUUAAAGUUAGACGGCCGAUACUUUAUAGAUACCUGUCUCCAAGAUGGAUGUGUCGGACCAAUCCAAGGUUUAUUGGAUACCGGGUCUCAGGCGCAAAGAUGCCAUCCCAGAUGAUCGCUAUCUUAUAUGCAGUCCUGAUCUUAGGGAAAGAAUUACACGCUGAGCGGAUUGUGAUGACAGGUCCAUCAUCCGGGAUCAUGCUACAGGAUACGGCAGGAUUCAUCAUGACCAACAAGAGGAUCUUAUCCCAAAAGAUUUAUAUGAGCCUAGAUCCACAUUGUAUCAUCGAAAGACAAAUCAACGUAUCCAAUAUCCGAUCACCGGAGAUUCAAACCUGGUACCAGCUGCAUAUUGAAUAUUCACAAAAGCGGAUUACUCAAAUCCUGGAGCAAACCCGGAAAACUUUAACCAGAGAGUUAUAUUUUUUUUCCUUCAAAACCAAAGACCAAAGCGGUUAAUUUCUGCCAUUGUUGCUGCUAUAAUCUUUGAGAUAGUUGUAACUGUAUUUGCAACCGGAGUAAGAAUCGCCAAUUCCACCUCCCUUAAAAUAUUGAAGGAGAGGUGGAAAGCAUUGAUGCAUUCCAAAAUCAGAAGAUUGCCAUAAGUCCAGAUUUAAAAUUUUUGUUGGACAAUAAGCCCAGCCAUACCAUCCAUAUGGUUAUAAAAAAAACAUAAUAUUACCAUGGAUACUCCACAAUUUUCAUCAACCGAUGACGAAAUACUGUUUCCUUCUGUUUGGUCAUGGGUGGAAAACUACAUAUGGAGUAUCUUGAUCAUAAUUAUAGUAGGGUGGUUAACUGUAAUCACCAUCUUGGCAAUUUGUUGGAUGAAGAUCAUCAAAAAGACUCUAGACAAACUAUGGCUUAAAUCUCGCCGAUCAAGUUUACAUAAUAAGUAUGAUGAAGGAAGAGUUUGAAAACCCUUAGUAGUUUUCCUGAAAUGUUCAUAUUAUAGGAAACAUUUCAGAAAAACGAGGGGGAUUUGUCGGAUUUUCAAAUAAGAUGAUUAUUAACUAUAGGAAUAUUCAGGUUUAUUAAUGAUAAUGUAUGAUUAUUUUACUCAAUAGAAUACAUAUUCAUGAUUGAUAUUAUGCAUAUUUGAUUAAUCAUAUAGUGUUGAGUAAUGAAUGUUAUAUUUUGUUUUAUAUAAAUUAAUGUUUAGUUGGUAAGAAACUUCUGUUCUGAAAAGGAUGUUUUAUCAGACUCCUAACACAGGUGUAUAACCUUUAUGCUUAAAGCAAAUCUCAAAGGUUGUAUAAUCCUUGGUGUCUGUGUGAAUAAAAUGAGAACACCUUGAAGGAUUUUACAAACUAUCCACAGUAUAGAGCACACCUGUUUGAGAGGGUAAUAAUUAAUCAAAGACAAACCAAUUUUGAAUGGCUAGUGUAUUCACAAGUAUAUUGUAUGUGUACUGAAGGUAUUAAGGAAUCAUAAAGUAUUGUUUCAGUCUCAGACAAUGUCAACAGUAAUGUUUAACACCAGAUUAAGGAGUUCAAAGGCUAUUAUGUAUUUUUUAGAUAUUUUUAGGUCAUGAUGUUUUUAGGCAAUAGUGCCAUCUACAGGUAGUGUAGGACAUCAUGCCCAGGGGUCAAUGAUUGACAUUUUACACAAUAUUUAGAUUAAAUGGUGAUAGUUUAACUUUUGGAGACUACCCUUCAAUUCCAAUUGGUUAGUUAAUUAAUCCCAGGGGUUGAGUUUUAGACAGAAAAGAGGGAUAAAUUAGGAGACACUGGGGGAUACUAGGGAAAUAAAAGAAGAAACUAAAAAAGGAAGGAGGAUAAGAAAAGGAGGGCUGACUGAAGAAGAAAAACUCUACAUCUGAAAGAAAGAGAAGGAAAGAAAUCUAAAAACUACUUGGAGACUCUCAACUAUAAGAAGACUCAUUCUUCAACUAAAAAGAAAAGGACCAGUGGAUUUUAAAGAUCUAGAAAGUGAGAUCAGGGUGACAUCACAGGCCAGUGAAAACUCUACAUCUGCCAAAUAAGGUCAAUUCUCGUGAUCCAAUAUCACUACAGCCCGUGUGUGAAAUACCCUCUGUUCAGUUCGUCCCAGUGGUGGAAUCCAUGGGAACCCAGAUGACCUGCAGGCGGAACCAGGAGGAGAUAAAUCCAAAUAUCCUGACGCUGCAGAAGGAUCAUUCUUUAAAACAACAGAUGGCAAAUCACUCCAAUUUUCUCUGUAAUCUCUUACAGUUAGACGGCCGAUACUUUAUAGAUACCUGUCUCCAAGAUGGAUGUGUCGGACCAAUCCAAGGUUUAUUGGAUACCGGGUCUCAGGUCACUAUCUUAUCUUUUAGCCACUUCCAACAGAUCUUGGGGUCAUCAAAAAAAGAAACUGAGAUUAACGGCAUUUGAUGGCUCUUUGAUAAGUGUGGGCGGUGACAGUUUACAGGUGAAAGGCACAUCCUGGCUGACAUACAAGAUUGGCAAAAAGAUCCUUAGACAUCCAACAUUAAUUGUAGAUCUUCCAUAUGAUCGGCUGAUCAUUGGAAUUGAUCUGCUCAAAAGAUUAAGAUCCAUAAUUGACUUUAUUAAUGAAGCAAUAUGGACUCAGGUAAAAACCCCAAUUGCUUUUGAGCACUCCCACAAUGCACGCCACAACAUAGUUGCCACAUGAUUGAAGAAAGGCCUAAUUCUGUUGAAAUCCAUUUCCGGAACAGUCAAAUACCAAAUAUAUCAAUCCUGAAAAACGGUAAACCUGAAGAAAGUGUUAAUACUUCCUUCCACAUCAUUAAUAUCCAAAAGGACAAAAUAGAAAAGAUAAUCCUGGAGGAUGAUGUGUUAACAAUUUCUCUAAAAGGGGGAAAUAAGGAAGUUGCAGGCAUAACCAGACAUACACAAUCACUGGUUAAAAUUGAAAAGACCAACGAUUCUAUGCUGGUUCCCGUACAGGUAAAUAAUAUUGCCCGGGUGUAAUAUGCCAAGUUGGAUCUCAAAUCUGAGACCAGCUACAUAAGUCUAGGACUUCUAAAGCAGAUUACAGAUCCUCAGAUGAUUAAAUUUUCCUUCUCACAGGAAUGGGUUUAUGACCUGGAUAAAGAUGACCAGAGUCCAAAUGUGAUGGCAAGAUGCAUUUUAUCUGUCUUCCUCAAAAGGAAACCGAUACAUGCUGACUGUAACUUGUUUGUUUACAAAAUGGAUAGAAUGUCUGCCAUGUAAAACAUGCAGUUCUAGUGUAUGCGCAUCACUGCUCAUUAACCAUAUAUUUUCCAGAUUUGGUCUUCCCCAGCGUAUUGAAUCCGACCGUGGAAGUCACUUCACCAGUGAAGUGAUGACCAAGAUGUGGGAAAUUCUAGGAGUCAAAAGGAAGCUACACAUAGCUUACAGACCAGCUUCUAGUGGUGGAGUAGAGCGUUACAAUCAGUCCAUAGUAAACAUUUUGAAAAAGUUUGUCAAGGAAUCUGGUAAAGACUGGGAUGUCAUGUUGCCACUGGUUCUCAUGGCUAUUAGAGCCACUCCAAGUGCAGCAACAAAACUUUCUCCAUUUGAGAUGAUUACGGGUAGAAAAAUGGUGUUACCUCAACAUCUACUUUACAGGACCACAGAUCACAAUUUGAUGAAUACAAUGACUGCACAUCAAUAUAUAGAAAAUUUACACAAGCAUCUACAGCAUGCUUUUGCAUUUGCUCAAAGAAAUAUUGAGAAAGCUGCAGUAAGUACGAAAACGUACUAUGAUCUAAAAACUACUCAAAGGGAAUAUCAGGUGGAUGACAAAGUUUAUCUUUAUAACUUUGCCAGGGAUCAAGUAAAGGAAAGGAAAUUCCUACCUUCCUGGAAAGGUCCAUAUAUAAUCACUGAUAAAUUAUCUCCUGUGGUUUAUAAAGUUAAAAUUCCUAAGGGGGAUGAUUUUGUUGAAAAAUGGAUGCACAUUAACCAAUUACGUGUUUGUCAUCCUAGCUCACAACUUCGGAAAAUAGAGCAAGUCGAGAGCUAAGUAGUAAGGAAUCUGGAAAUUCCGGAUAAAGAUGGAAGUAGAGAUUAAUAUUGUAUAUAGAUAAUUAUAUCAUGAUAUGCCUAUGUCUGCUCUCUCUACUUUCCAACUAUCCUUUAUCUUACCUGUGAACUGAAACUUGCUCUGUUAUAGGAAACUCAUACCAAUCCUAAGAAUUUAUGAUGAGGUCGAAACAUGCUAUAUAUGACAGCCGAAACUAAUGAUUUCUUUUGAUUUUCUAUAGGCGCAAAGAUGGCAUCCCAGAUGAUCGCUAUCUUAUAUGCAGUCCUGAUCUUAGGGAAAGAAUUACACGCUGAGCGGAUUGUGAUGCCAGGUCCAUCAUCCGGGAUCAUGCUACAGGAUACGGCAGGAUUCAUCAUGACCAACAAGAGGAUCUUAUCCCAAAAGAUUUAUAUGAGCCUAGAUCCACAUUGUAUCAUCGAAAGACAAAUCAACGUAUCCAAUAUCCGAUCACCGGAGAUUCAAACCUGGUACCAGCUGCAUAUUGAAUAUUCACAAAAGCGGAUUAUUCAAAUCCUGGAGCAAACCCGGAAAACUUUAACCAGAGAGUUAUAUUUUUUUUCCUUCAAAACCAAAGACCAAAGCGGUUAAUUUCUGCCAUUGUUGCUGCUAUAAUCUUUGAGAUAGUUGUAACUGUAUUUGCAACCGGAGUAAGAAUCGCCAAUUCCACCUCCCUUAAAAUAUUGAAGGAGAGGUGGAAAGCAUUGAUGCAUUCCAAAAUCAGGAGAUUGCCAUAAGUCCAGAUUUAAAAUUUUUGUUGGACAAUAAGCCCAGCCAUACCAUCCGUAUGGUUAUAAAAAAAACAUAAUAUUACCAUGGAUACUCCACAAUUUUCAUCAACCGAUGACGAAAUACUGUUUCCUUCUGUUUGGUCAUGGGUGGAAAACUACAUAUGGAGUAUCUUGAUCAUAAUUAUAGUAGGGUGGUUAACUGUAAUCACCAUCUUGGCAAUUCGUUGGAUGAAGAUCAUCAAAAAGACUCUAGACAAACUAUGGCUUAAAUCUCGCCGAUCAAGUUUACAUAAUGAGUAUGAUGAAGGAAGAGUUUGAAAACCCUUAGUAGUUUUCCUGAAAUGUUCAUAUUAUAGGAAACAUUUCAGAAAAACGAGGGGGAUUUGUCGGAUUUUCAAAUAAGAUGAUUAUUAACUAUAGGAAUAUUCAGGUUUAUUAAUGAUAACGUAUGAUUAUUUUACUCAAUAGAAUACAUAUUCAUGAUUGAUAUUAUGCAUAUUUGAUUAAUCAUAUAGUGUUGAGUAAUGCAUGUUAUAUUUUGUUUUAUAUAAAUUAAUGUUUAGUUGGUAAGAAACUUCUUUUCUGAAAAGGAUGUUUUAUCAGACUCCUAACACAGGUGUAUAACCUUUAUGCUUAAAGCAAAUCUCAAAGGUUGUAUAAUCCUUGGUGUCUGUGUGAAUAAGAUGAGAACACCUUGAAGGAUUUUACAAACUAUCCACAGUAUAGAGCACACCUGUUUGAGAGGGUAAUAAUUAAUCAAAGACAAACCAAUUUUGAAUGGCUAGUGUAUUCACAAGUAUAUUGUAUGUGUACUGAAGGUAUUAAGGAAUCAUAAAGUAUUGUUUCAGUCUCAGACAAUGUCAACAGUAAUGUUUAACACCAGAUUAAGGAGUUCAAAGGCUAUUAUGUAUUUUUUAGAUAUUUUUAGGUCAUGAUGUUUGAGGCAAUAGUGCCAUCUACAGGUAGUGUAGGACAUCAUGCCCAGGGGUCAAUGAUUGACAUUUUACACAAUAUUUAGAUUAAAUGGUGAUAGUUUAACUUUUGGAGACUACCCUUCAAUUCCAAUUGGUUAGUUAAUUAAUCCCAGGGGUUGAGUUUUAGACAGAAAAGAGGGAUAAAUUAGGAGACACUGGGGGAUACUAGGGAAAUAAAAGAAGAAACUAAAAAAGGAAGGAGGAUAAGAAAAGGAGGGCUGACUGAAGAAGAAAAACUCUACAUCUGAAAGAAAGAGAAGGAAAGAAAUCUAAAAACUACUUGGAGACUCUCAACUAUAAGAAGACUCAUUCUUCAACUAAAAAGAAAAGGACCAGUGGAUUUUAAAGAUCUAGAAAGUGAGAUCAGGGUGACAUCACAGGCCAGUGAAAACUCUACAUCUGGUAAAUAUAAAUUUUUGUUAUACUUUUUCUCGAUUAAGUUGUAUGCUUGGAUAUUUAUUAUUUCUAUGUGUAUUAUAGUCAUACCCUAAACAUUGACUUUCCCAGAAUUGCAAACUGGGAAUAAUCUGUUUAAUUUGGGUCCAUUUUAUUUUUCAUUAAUAUAUAUAUAUAUAUAUGAUAUCCAAGUUAACGAUUUAAUGAGGAAAUAGGAAAAUUUAAGGACAGAAUUCCUUAGCAAAUCAGAAUCAGUCACAUAUUCCUCCUUUGAUUCCAAUACCUUAUUAUUAAUAAGAGUGUAUAUUGUCUUGUGGAUGCUCGCCAUAUUAAUGAUUUUGGUCUUAUCAAUUAAUAUCUGUUGAUAAAUUUUAUCUUGUGUUUAUAUCAAGAAGUAUUUGGUGGAUUUUAAAAGAAGUGAUAAUUUGAUUUGUUAUUAUUAUAUAUAAAUAAAUUAAUUAUUUUGUUAAA